GACGAACCAUGAUGUCAUUUAUUUGGUGUUGUGGGGAAUCAGGACUGUUACUUUGAAAAAAUUAGAGUCGUUUAAAGCAGGCUCACGCUUGAAUACAUUAGCAUGGAAUAAUGAAAUAGGACGUUUGAUUCUAUUUUGUUGGUUUCUAGGAUCGACGUAAUGAUUAAUAGGGAUAGUUGGGGGCAUUAGUAUUCAAUUGUCAGAGGUGAAAUUCUUGGAUUUAUUGAAGACUAACUACUGCGAAAGCAUUUGCCAAGGAUGUUUUCAUUAAUCAAGAACGAAAGUUAGGGGAUCGAAGACGAUCAGAUACCGUCGUAGUCUUAACCAUAAACUAUGCCGACUAGGGAUCGGAUGAUGUUAAUUUUUUAAUGACUCAUUCGGCGCCUUACG
rnacentral:rRNA from 1 species